CCUGCAUGUCCACUUAUACAAAUAUGGCAGGUGGGAAUCCCAACACGUAUUAAAAAAAUGGGAGUCUGUAAAUCUGUUCUGAAAUUUGUGUUGGAAUUCCCGCCUACCAUCCAAUGAUGGUGGGAGAUACACGAGUUUCCAAUGUCAUUUGAUAUCUGUGCGGGUGUGAAUGACCAUUGGGUUUCUAAGGUCAUUGUGUCUAGUACCUCAUAUCAAUGUUCUAAAUUUCUAAUUUGUAGCCUUCCACUUACCAGUCUUGCUAUUGCCAAGAUUAGCUUGAGCGUGUAAAUUCUUGCUAAGUCUAUACUUCUGCAUGAAUAUAGUUCAAGUUAGUUUCCGCGGUAAAAUCAUUGAAUUUUUCGAACAUGCUAGGAACAGUGAUGGGAGUACCUGAAGAUGGCUCUUUAGAUGGUACAAGGAAGGAGCAGAGAAUCUUGGACAGAAAAGGUGAAAUGUGCGGCCCAAUUCAAUCUUCACAGCGACUUUAAAAGAGAUCUUGUCCCUCCAUGACUCCGGGUAUCCAUAGUCCUGACCCCACAAACUCCCAUUUAAAUUCUGUACUGAAACUUUCUGCACGCUCGAACAACUUACACCUUACAACAGGGUACCGGAAUAGAUCCUGCACAAACAUUUGUUUUUCCGUGUUGGUCCCAUGCACAAAAAAGCAGGAACCUUAUACUCCGGAAGUGGAAUUUUUCUGGCCAUAGAUCUGCAAUCUGAUUUCUGCAGCAGAUUCCUAACCUGGCGAAUGAUUAUUCCGACCCAGGUCCCCUGAUCAUCACAAGUGCGUCCUGGGAUUUAUCCUAUUUGCCAUCAUUUGUAACUGAAACCUGUCACAUAGACAUACAUUUUUGCGGUCUGUUCAUGAUA